CUCGAGGGCCAGGCAUGCUGCCAACUGCCCAGUCAAGGAGGGAUAGAGGUCAUGAAGACUAUGAUAGGAGGAAGUAACAACCCCGGAAGAGAGUAGUGACCCCCGGAGUGCUCCUGGCACAGGCACGCUCCAGUCCAUCAUCAUGCUGCAGAAGUGCAGACGUGAAAAUUUGGAAAUCCCUCCUUCUGGCGUGUGAUGGCCACAUACAUCAGAAUGAGACUGCAAACUCCCCAGAUAAAAUGCCUGAACCUGUGUGCUGGGACGAGGCACUCAGAACACUGAGGACCACGUUGCCUCUGCGGCGAUGCCCGCUAAGUGUUUUGCCUGCCGAACCUCACCAUGACCAGACUUGGAGCUGGACUCCUUGCCUUCCAAACACUUCUUCUGGGAUUGGUCACUCUGCUGUUCUCUGCUUUGAUAUUCUUCAGCACAUCUCCACAAGCAGUUUUAAGCUGGCUUCAUUUAACAGCUAAGGUGAUGACAGGAACCAUAAAAUAGAAGGACGGUAAACAAGAUAACAGGAGUGCUGAAAACACAGUGACAGUGGAAAAGCUUAAGGAACUACGGGUGAAAAGGUACAGGAGAAAAAGAAUUACUGUGUUACUU
rnacentral:lncRNA from 1 species